rnacentral:rRNA from 1 species
CCUUGCGCUUUGGGAGCNGCCGAUGUCUGAUUAGCUAGUUGGUNNGGUAAAGGCUUACCAAGGCGACGAUCAGUAGUUGGUCUGAGAGGACGACCAGCCACACUGGGACUGAGACACGGCCCAGACUCCUACGGGAGGCAGCAGUGGGGAAUUUUGGACAAUGGGCGCAAGCCUGAUCCAGCAAUGCCGCGUGAGUGAAGAAGGCCUUCGGGUUGUAAAGCUCUUUCAGUCGAGAAGAAAAGACUGCAGUGAAUAACUGCAGUUCAUGACGGUAUCGACAGAAGAAGCACCGGCUAACUACGUGCCAGCAGCCGCGGUAAUACGUAGGGUGCGAGCGUUAAUCGGAAUUACUGGGCGUAAAGGGUGCGCAGGCGGCUUUGUAAGUCAGAUGUGAAAUCCCCGGGGCUUAACCU